AAUGCAGGAACCACACUGUCAGAAACCUGAGUUAUUUGUUCGGCAGCUUCCACACCAACAGCUUUGGCAAUAUCAGAAGGCUUAGGGGCACUAAUGUGCUCAAAUUUCACACCAGAUUCUCUUUCAAUCUUUGAAAAAAUAUUGGACCUCCUUGGAUCGUAGAGCAUUACAGCUACUCCAGUAUUGCCUGCCCUUCCUGUGCGUCCAGAUCGAUGUAUAUA
rnacentral:misc_RNA from 1 species